AUUGAACGCUGGCGGCAGGCCUAACACAUGCAAGUCGAGCGGGGUUUUCGGACCUAGCGGCGGACGGGUGAGUAAUGCGUAGGAAGCUACCCGAUAGAGGGGGAUACCAGUUGGAAACGACUGUUAAUACCGCAUAAUGUCUACGGACCAAAGUGUGGGACCUUCGGGCCACAUGCUAUCGGAUGCGCCUACGUGGGAUUAGCUAGUUGGUGGGGUAAUGGCUCACCAAGGCGACGAUCCCUAGCUGGUUUGAGAGGAUGAUCAGCCACACUGGAACUGAGACACGGUCCAGACUCCUACGGGAGGCAGCAGUGGGGAAUAUUGGACAAUGGGCGCAAGCCUGAUCCAGCCAUGCCGCGUGUGUGAAGAAGGCCUGGUGUAAGCACUUCUAGCGAGGAGGAAGGG
rnacentral:rRNA from 1 species